CCCUUAGAUGUUCUGGGCCGCACACGCGCUACACUGAAGGAGGCAGCGUGUACUCCUGGAUCGAAAGAUUUGGGUAACCCGCGAAUCUCCUUCGUGCUAGGGAUUGAGGUUUGCAACUAUCCUUCAUGAACGAGGAAUUCCCAGUAAGUGCAAGUCAUAAGCUUGCGCUGACUACGUCCCUGCCCUUUGUACACACCGCCCGUCGCUACUACCGAUUGAAUGAUUUAGUGAGGACUUCGGACUGGGACCGAUGCGGCUUUCGGGCUGCGUCGGUAUUCUGGAAAGAUGUCCAAACUGUAUCAUUUAGAGGAAGUAAAAGUCGUAACA
rnacentral:rRNA from 1 species